rnacentral:rRNA from 1 species
GACAGAGGGCCCAAGCGUGAGGCAGAAUCACUGGGCUUAAAGCGUGUGUAGGCGGACUUCUAAGUACCUUGUGAAAUCCCACGGCUCAACCGUGGAACUGCUUGGUAUACUGGUUGUCUUGGGCCAUCUAGGGGCUAGCGGAACAAACGGUGGAGCGGUGAAAUGCGUAGAUAUCGUUUGGAACGCCAAUGGUGAAAACAGCUAGCUGGGGAUGUGCCGACGCUGAGACACGAAAGCCAGGGGAGCGAACGGG